UACGUAGGGUGCGAGCGUUAAUCGGAAUUACUGGGCGUAAAGCGUGCGCAGGCGGCCAUGCAAGACAGAUGUGAAAUCCCCGGGCUCAACCUGGGAACUGCAUUUGUGACUGCAUGGCUGGAGUGCGGCAGAGGGGGAUGGAAUUCCGCGUGUAGCAGUGAAAUGCGUAGAUAUGCGGAGGAACACCGAUGGCGAAGGCAAUCCCCUGGGCCUGCACUGACGCUCAUGCACGAAAGCGUGGGGAGCAAACAGG
rnacentral:rRNA from 1 species